UACGUAGGUGGCAAGCGUUGUCCGGAUUCAUUGGGCGUAAAGGGUGCGUAGGCGGCUCUUCAAGUCAGGCGUGAAAGCCCCGAGCUUAACUCGGGAACUGCGCUUGAUACUGUCGAGCUAGAGUGUGGAAGGGGCGAUUGGAAUUCCGUGUGUAGCGGUGAAAUGCGUAGAUAUACGGAGGAACACCAGAGGCGAAGGCGGAUCGCUGGGCCAACACUGACGCUGAUGUGCGAAAGCUAGGGGAGCAAACGGG
rnacentral:rRNA from 1 species